AAGAUAUUCAGCAUAGUGCACGCCUAUGCUGGCAUAAUGGAAAAAUAAUCAAAGCAAUAAAAAUUCAGAUUAAAAAAAAUGUUUACACAGCCAAUAGUGAAAAUAAUAUUUUUAAGCCUGAAUGCUAACUCAACAAGAAGGCUUCUACUCAAUCACCUGAUGCUCCUAAGGAAAUUUAGGUCUCAUCAUACUAUAGUGAUAUAUACCAUAUAUAUACCAUAUAAAAAUAGAAAAUAGGGCUGUAAAUAGACCUUUGGAGGUCAAGUUGUCCGCUGCUUUGCCUGAAGGCAGGAUCAAUGAUUCCUCACAGAUGUUUGUCUAAACCAGUCUCCAUGAAAUGAGUACUAGCAACUUUUUUUAUCUCAUCAGUUCUUAACUCUAGCAAUUGCCUGGAAGUCAAUAAGAUGACUACUCGUGUCUAGCCCAAGCUCCUUUCAUCACUAUGUGUUUUCUCAUGUGUUUCCUUAAUAUGAAUGUGACAUUUGCCUCCUUCCAGCAGUGGCAUUUAAGCUUAGGAACUAUGACUCCUCACUUUACUAAUCAGUAAAUAAAAAUCUUAUUGUAGGUGCUAAGGAAUGCAUAAACACUCUAGCUAUAGGAGAAAAGGACAUUCAGAUGUAGGGAAGGUUAUGAUCUUAUGUCAGUGUGCUCCAAAACCACCUGAGUACCUGAGGCAAACAAUUGAAUAUUUGGUCAAACUACUGCCAUAUUCUUCCUUCAAGUCACUAUGCUAUGAAGAGGCAUGCACCGUGCAUAGAACAGAGCCAUCUGUACCCUUUCAGAUGCAAGAUCAGCUGUGGGCACAAUUUAGAAAUGGCAUUGGAGUGGUAGGAGUUGAGAAAGGUUGUACUCCUUUGUCCUGUAAUCUAUGAUGUGACAUAUGGAAUGCCAAGAAUAGACUGUCUGCAGUCCACUUUGUAAAUCUGGUUCAUAGGCACAAAUUUUCUCUGAGUUGGGAAGGAAUCUUGGAAAGGAUCACUUCUACAGUUCCAUCAUUGAAUUCAUCAUCAUUGUCCCAGAGAAGCAGCGAUCAGUGAGAUGUGGCUCAUGGGCUAGGCAUUGGCAAGUUUGCUUUUGGUAGAAGAUCGACUAGUGUGUGUGUGUGUUACGGUUACACUUUGUAAAUAAUUACAGAUAUGAUAAGUUUUAUAUAGAUUAUAAAAAUGAUCUAUUGUAUUCACAUUUUAUGAAGAAUAAAAAAGAUGUAUGAAGAUUUUUUUUUUUAUGC
rnacentral:lncRNA from 1 species